CAGUCGCCGCGGUAAAACGGAGGAUCCAAGCGUUAUCCGGAAUCAUUGGGUUUAAAGGGUCCGUAGGCGGUCUUGUAAGUCAGUGGUGAAAGCCCAUCGCUCAACGGUGGAACGGCCAUUGAUACUGCAGGACUUGAAUUAUUGGGAAGUAACUAGAAUAUGUAGUGUAGCGGUGAAAUGCUUAGAGAUUACAUGGAAUACCAAUUGCGAAGGCAGGUUACUACCAAUUGAUUGACGCUGAUGGACGAAAGCGUGGGUAGCGAACAGGAUUAGAUACCCCUGUAGUCCCUGUCUCUUAUAC
rnacentral:rRNA from 1 species